rnacentral:rRNA from 1 species
AUUGCCUUAGUAACGGCGAGUGAAGCGGCAAAAGCUCAAAUUUGAAAUCUGGCACCUUCGGUGUCCGAGUUGUAAUUUGAAGAAGGUAACUUUGGAGUUGGCUCUUGUCUAUGUUCCUUGGAACAGGACGUCACAGAGGGUGAGAAUCCCGUGCGAUGAGAUGCCCAAUUCUAUGUAAAGUGCUUUCGAAGAGUCGAGUUGUUUGGGAAUGCAGCUCUAAGUGGGUGGUAAAUUCCAUCUAAAGCUAAAUAUUGGCGAGAGACCGAUAGCGAACAAGUACAGUGAUGGAAAGAUGAAAAGAACUUUGAAAAGAGAGUGAAAAAGUACGUGAAAUUGUUGAAAGGGAAGGGCUUGAGAUCAGACUUGGUAUUUUGCGAUCCUUUCCUUCUUGGUUGGGUU